rnacentral:lncRNA from 13 species
AUGGCUGAGAACCUAAUAACAAAAGACAGACUAACAAGAGAAAAUAAUACGGAUGGCAACUCUGGAAUUGAGGGCCUUAUGACCUGCUUCAGGGAAGAAGGGCAAGGAGAAAGUGAGAAUGACCUUCCUGCUUCUGCUAGUUUCUCAAAUGCCACAUUUGGGGAACAGCAGGUCCAGAACCACAUCACUGGAAUAAUCUCAAAAGCUGUUGAACUCCACUACUUGGAAGUUGCAUAAUCACUCAGGAUUCAAACGUAUGUGUCACAGCAAUAGAGUCCAGCAGUAGCUAGACCUUCUGCAAUCCACCCUAGAAACCAGUGUGCCUUCUGCAUUCUUUUAGUCAUCAGUCACCAAAGCCUUCCCAGUUUCAAGGGGAGGGGCUAGAGACGCCACCUCUUGACAGGGGAGGGAAAGGGUUUGGAGAAAGUUUGAGACCAGAAAUGUGAUUGAAGCCAGUUUUAGAAAAUACAAUUUGCCACAUCUGCCUAGGAAUAUUUGGGGUGGAGGUGGGGGACUAGAAGUAUAUUCUAUGUGGACAGAGAAGGUGGUAGGCCAGGUCAAGCAAAGUAAAAUAGAGACAAAUUUGGGUUCAGGAGAUGAAGAUGUUUUUAAGGUGCUGGAUUAUUUUAAGUGGGACUGAAUUUUCUGCCAUUGAAACGGGCUCUCAACACAUGUCUAGGGUCUGGUAUGGUGAAGUACCUGAUCCCUCCAGCUCAGUGUGCCAGGACUAAUCUGCUAGAGGUACCAACCUAGGAGUCAGUGGCUGGAGCAAAACAUCUUCAUGAGAACAAGAAGGGCAGAGGACUGAGCAAAGCUGACAGUUAAAAUGUUUUUAAUUUUUAAAACUUUUUUAAGAGCAUGAAACCCAGGCUGCAGGAGUGGGGUUAGAAGGUUUAGUGAAUAUGGCAGAAGCUGGACGUGGACUUUUAUGUUGGGAAUUUGAACAAGAGUUUGAAACCAGAGAUGAUCAAACAAAAGUAGAUCUAGAACUAAAACUUGGGAGGAGCAGAGCAGGGAAGGAAGGCACAGGGACCCUGAGCAGUGGAAGCGCAGCCUCUGGUAGUUAGAGCACACUCCCUAGGCUUGAUGGAGAGAGAAGGGGGCACUGCCAGAAGAAAGUCAGCUUGGCCUAGGGCAGGCAGAGACAAGAAGACAAGCCCCACGUGGAGCACUUGGAUUAUAAUGGACAGCGAGGCGCCUUCUGAAGCUAGGACUAUUAGAUUCUCAUAGGACUGGGGGUCAUGUAGUAAACGAUUGUCCAUCUCUAGGCAUUUGUGCUUCUCUGGGUGUUAUGAGUCUUAACAGUGGAUGUUUUCUGCCCUUUGAUAACUAACCAAUAACAGCCUUGGCAUGCCACCCUCAGGGUGCAAUUGAAGCCCUUACAGUUCCAUGGCCUUGCACAUCAGUUUACUGCAUGGUUUUGAGAAGGUUUAUUUCUUAGUUAAAACCCAGGUCUGUUGAACAAGCACCACGAAGCCAGAUGGUGUCUUCUGCUGCCCUGGUAAAGGUCAUUAUUCCCAUUAGGCUUGGUACAUAGUCGAGAAACCACAAUUGUAUUAUAUUCAUUCAUUUGUCUAUGUAGGCUUCAGGAAAAGUUUCAUAUGUCUUGACAAGGUAACACAGAUUCAAGAAGAUAAAACUGGUGGUGAGAAAACACAGAUCUGUUUCAAUAAAGAAAAACUUAUCUUGGAUCA